UACGGAGGAUCCAAGCGUUAUCCGGAUUCACUGGGUUUAAAGGGUGUGUAGGCGGAAUAUUAAGUCAGUGGUGAAAUCCUACAGCUUAACUGUAGAACUGCCAUUGAAACUGAUGUUCUUGAAUGUGGUUGAGGUAAGCGGAAUGUGUAGUGUAGCGGUGAAAUGCUUAGAUAUUACACAGAACACCGAUUGCGAAGGCAGCUUGCUAAGCCAUGAUUGACGCUGAGACACGAAAGCGUGGGGAUCAAACAGG
rnacentral:rRNA from 1 species